rnacentral:tRNA from 3 species
GCAGGGGUGGCUGAGUUGGUCAAAGGCGCCGGGCUUAAGAUCCGGUCUCGUAUGAGUUCGUGGGUUCGGAUCCCACCCCCUGCACCA